UACGAAGGGGGCUAGCGUUGCUCGGAAUCACUGGGCGUAAAGGGUGCGUAGGCGGGUCUUUAAGUCAGAGGUGAAAUCCUGGAGCUCAACUCCAGAACUGCCUUUGAUACUGAGGAUCUUGAGUUCGGGAGAGGUGAGUGGAACUGCGAGUGUAGAGGUGAAAUUCGUAGAUAUUCGCAAGAACACCAGUGGCGAAGGCGGCUCACUGGCCCGAUACUGACGCUCAUGCACGAAAGCGUGGGGAGCAAACAGG
rnacentral:rRNA from 1 species